rnacentral:rRNA from 1 species
UAGUUGGUAGGGUAACGGCCUACCAAGGCGAAGACGGGUAGGGGGUGUGAGAGCACGGCCCCCCACAAUGGGACUGAGAGACGGCCCAUACUCCUACGGGAGGCAGCAGCAGGGAAUAUUGCACAAUGGGCGGAAGCCUGAUGCAGCGACGCCGCGUGAGUGACGAAGGCCUUCGGGUUGUAAAACUCUUUUCGGGGGGAAGAGAGAGGACGGUACCCUCGGAAUAAGCGUCGGCUAACUACGUGCCAGCAGCCGCGGUAAUACGUAGGACGCGAGCGUUAUCCGGAUUUACUGGGCGUAAAGCGUCUGUAGGCGGUAGAGUAAGUUGGAUGUGAAAGCUCUGGGCUUAACCCGGAGAGGCCAUUCAAUACUGCUCGACUAGAGGGCGUGAGAGGGGAGCGGAAUUCCCGGUGUAGCGGUAAAAUGCGCAGAUAUCGGGAGGAACACCAGUGGCGCAGGCGGCUCCCUGGUACGCACCUGACGCUGAGAGACGAAAGCUAGGGGAGCGAACAGGAUUAGAGACCCUGGUAGUCCUAGCCCUAAACGCUGGAUGCUAGGUGCGUGGUCGAACAGACUGCGUGCCGGAGCUAACGCGGUAAGCAUCCCGCCUGGGGAGUACGGCCGCAAGGUUAAAACUCAAACGAAUUGACGGGGCCCCGCACAAGCAGCGGAGCGUGUGGUUUAAUUCGAUGCUACACGAAGAACCUUACCUGGGUUUGACAUGGGGGUGGUAGGGAAGCGAAAGCGGACCGACCCGUAAGGGAGCCCUCACAGGUGCUGCAUGGCUGUCGUCAGCUCGUGCCGUGAGGUGUCGGGUUAAGUCCCGUAACGAGCGCAACCCCUGCCCUUAGUUACAAGUGUCUAAGGGGACUGCCGGCG